rnacentral:tRNA from 1 species
AAAGUUGAAAUAAUAUUAUUAUAUUCAGUUUCGACCUGAAAUUAAAGUUAUUUUUAUAACUCAUCUUUA